rnacentral:rRNA from 1 species
AUGGGAAUGGGAGGCAUACCUGCCUGCCAUAUACAUCAACCUGAAGCUUUCAAGCGUUGUACAGAACAAGUAAUUGACAGUCAUACAGAUUUGAAUACUAUACUGUUAAAACAAUAUGAUGGAGGUCUCCAGUUUGAUGCACUGUUAAAAAUCAUGCUGAAGUCACAGGAGGCAGGUGCGUUGCCUGAGGAGUUCGUCGGUGCCGAUGUCGUCAGUUGUGGAAGGCGGCGAUGGCUAACAGUGGCUGGGCGGCGAAGGUCCAACAGUGGCUUGGCGGCGCCGACGUCUGACUGUAGUGUGCGUCUGAACGGCGACAUCGAAGAAAGUCUGAAUGGCGACGUCGAAGAAAGACAUCGAGAUUAA